rnacentral:rRNA from 1 species
CGGGAGGCUGCAGCAGUAGGGAAUCUUCCGCAAUGGACGAAAGUCUGACGGAGCAACGCCGCGUGAGUGAUGAAGGUUUUCGGAUCGUAAAACUCUGUUGUUAGGGAAGAACAAGUACGAGAGUAACUGCUCGUACCUUGACGGUACCUAACCAGAAAGCCACGGCUAACUACGUGCCAGCAGCCGCGGUAAUACGUAGGUGGCAAGCGUUGUCCGGAAUUAUUGGGCGUAAAGCGCGCGCAGGCGGUCCUUUAAGUCUGAUGUGAAAGCCCACGGCUCAACCGUGGAGGGUCAUUGGAAACUGGGGGACUUGAGUGCAGAAGAGAAGAGUGGAAUUCCACGUGUAGCGGUGAAAUGCGUAGAGAUGUGGAGGAACACCAGUGGCGAAGGCGACUCUUUGGUCUGUAACUGACGCUGAGGCGCGAAAGCGUGGGGAGCAAACAGGAUUAGAUACCCGGGUAGUC